rnacentral:rRNA from 1 species
UGCCCUACGGGGCGCAGCAGUGAGGAAUAUUGGUCAAUGGGCUUACGCCUGAACCAGCCAAGUCGCGUGAGGGAAGACUGCCCUAUGGGUUGUAAACCUCUUUUGUCAGGGAGCAAUUGGCGCUACGUGUAGCGUUAUCGAGAGUACCUGAAGAAAAAGCAUCGGCUAACUCCGUGCCAGCAGCCGCGGUAAUACGGAGGAUGCGAGCGUUAUCCGGAUUUAUUGGGUUUAAAGGGUGCGUAGGCGGAAUGCCAAGUCAGCGGUAAAAUUGCGGGGCUCAACCCCGUCGAGCCGUUGAAACUGGC